CUCUUUCUUUUUCUUCUAUGUUCUUCUUCUGCCUCUCCUUUUGUUCUUCUUCUGUAGAAUUCGAGUGAUGAUUUGAGAGCACGUUUGAGAUCAGUUUUUGAUUGAUGAAUCUAUUCUGAUGGUGAAGGAGGUGUUGAUGUGAUUUAAGAAGGAGUGAUGCUGUUAUAAUCAGAAUUAGGGUUUGUAGAACCGAUUAGUGUUUUGAAUGUCUAGAAGAUGAAUUAUGGGGAUUAUUGUUGAUAAAGAAUCAUAGGUUUAAGUUCAAUUGAAGUUCUGAACUUGACUUGGGAUGAACUGGGAGCUAGGGUUUUCUGAAUGAUGAAGUUUGAUUGAGGUUUCAUGGGAUUGAUUAGUGUAUUGAGUUCCUGAUGGAAUUUUUUUGAAUGGGUUAUCGUUAAUUUGAUGUUUCGGGGUUGUGUGGAUGAAGAAUCAAAGAAUUAGAAAUUAGGGUUUAUGCUUUGUUCUUCCCUAAAUUGUGAAAUUAGGUAUAUGAAGAAAAUUAAGGAUGGGUUGAUAGAUUUGAAGAUGAAGAAUGAUGUUGUCAGUGUGAAUCUGAGAGUCGAAGAUUAGAAUUGAGAAUUAAGAUUUCAUGAUAAAGUUUAGGGCUGUUUAUAGAAUGAAGUGGAUACUAUAGAAGCAUAAUUAGAAAUGGGUUUAACUGAAUUAGAGUUUGAAGAAGAAGAUCUGCAGAAUCCAGUCAAGUAAGAAGAAGGGUUGAAUUGUGUUGCUGGAAUGGAAAUUACUUUUAGUGUGAUUACAGGAUUACUGGAGUUGUAGUUAAUGGAACUGGUAGAUACUCGUCUAAUGUUGCAGAUGAUAGAACUCAACUUGGUGGUGCUGUAAGAUUGCAGGGGAGAAGGCUUGAGUUGGGUGUUUUGUCAUGAGAAUGUGUUGAUGAUGAGAGAGCUGAUAUGGGUUUGAUUACAGAAGUAUGUGUUGAACUUUAGUGAAACUGAAUAAGAGAAUGAUGUUUCACUGUAUGUCUGAGAAGGUAGAGGUAAUUGAAUAUAGAUUGAAGCUAUAGUUAUGAAUUGGGUUGUGUCUGUUAACCAAGGGAAUUGGUAUUGGAUUGAGUUAAUACAUGGUUUGAGAUAUAAGAACUAGUAUUGGUUUGUACUGCAAGAAGUGCAAGUGGGAAAUGAAUAGAAUGGUGAUUGUAGAAUUGUAAAUAGUGAUUGCUGUGAAAGCUUGGAAAAGCUGCAACUGCAGGUAGGCUAUAGUUGUGUUUGCAAUUGAAUUGUUGAAUUCUUUUUUGAAUGAAUGCAAUGUUUAGUAGUUGUAUAA